rnacentral:tRNA from 1 species
UGGCUCAGUGGUAGAGUGCUUGCCUCGCAAGCAUGAGGCCUGGGUUCGAUUCCUCAG